rnacentral:rRNA from 1 species
AGCAGCUUGCUGCUUCGCUGACGAGUGGCGGACGGGUGAGUAAUGUCUGGGAAACUGCCUGAUGGAGGGGGAUAACUACUGGAAACGGUAGCUAAUACCGCAUAACGUCGCAAGACCAAAGAGGGGGACCUUCGGGCCUCUUGCCAUCGGAUGUGCCCAGAUGGGAUUAGCUAGUAGGUGGGGUAACGGCUCACCUAGGCGACGAUCCCUAGCUGGUCUGAGAGGAUGACCAGCCACACUGGAACUGAGACACGGUCCAGACUCCUACGGGAGGCAGCAGUGGGGAAUAUUGCACAAUGGGCGCAAGCCUGAUGCAGCCAUGCCGCGUGUAUGAAGAAGGCCUUCGGGUUGUAAAGUACUUUCAGCGGGGAGGAAGGGAGUAAAGUUAAUACCUUUGCUCAUUGACGUUACCCGCAGAAGAAGCACCGGCUAACUCCGUGCCAGCAGCCGCGGUAAUACGGAGGGUGCAAGCGUUAAUCGGAAUUACUGGGCGUAAAGCGCACGCAGGCGGUUUGUUAAGUCAGAUGUGAAAUCCCCGGGCUCAACCUGGGAACUGCAUCUGAUACUGGCAAGCUUGAGUCUCGUAGAGGGGGGUAGAAUUCCAGGUGUAGCGGUGAAAUGCGUAGAGAUCUGGAGGAAU